UGGUUCCGGCGGAUUCGGGGGGGGGAGCAAGACUUUCGGUUGGCUGUAGGUGAGCACACAGGUAGACAGACGAUUAGGCGCAAAGCGAAUACUCGGAAUCUCAACGAUACUGGUAAAACCCGAAACCUAUGAUUGUUUUUUUCGACGCCGUUAAGCAGGGAGGGCGACUUAGACGAUUAGAAAUGUAAUUUUUUUUUAAAGACUUAACUGCACAGCUGGAGACUUUGAUUAAUGAUAGAGGACGCUGGGACAUAUUUACAGUGUUUUAUAAUUGAGAGAUAACCGCCUCGGUAGUAGUUGAACUACAUUUGUGAUAGAAAACAUCGAAUCAUGUUAGUGAUACCGAGAUUUUCUGCUGUUUUCUGGUUCAUAACAGGUAUUUUGGCUUCUAACGCCCAAGAAUGUGGACGACCACCAUUAAUGCAGGACAGGAUUGUGGGCGGGCUGGAUUCGUUAGUAGGCGAGUGGCCGUGGCAGGUGGAUGUACAGAAACACCCUGAUGGUCAUAUCUGUGGAGGCUCUCUGAUCACGGAAAACUGGGUUCUAUCUGCAGCACAUUGUUU